CCACGGAGCAGACCUCAGCAGCUGUUCCCGGCCAGGCCAAGCUCGUCUUCUGAGGGCACUUUCUGCCCACUCAGGUCCAAUAUCCUGGGAAGGAGGCUUAUUGGCCCAUUUUGGUCAAAUAUCUACCCAGAACCAAUAAACCAUGUCUACAAGGUGGAGCAAAUGAAAGAACUCAGCAGCUCCCCCAGGAGCUGUCUUCACCUCCAGUGACAGCAGUUUUGACGGAUGCCAAGG